UUGCUUUCAGCACGACAGCAGAGAACACGCUAUGUUGGCAUAAAGGUGUAAGGUUAUACCUAACCAAAUACAUUGAGAUUUUGGGUCUAUUUUGGGGUUUGGAGAUCACAUCAAAUUCUAGUUGUUUACUCAACUUGUACCUUAGUGUGAGUCAGGUCCUUUGGAUCAUUUCGGGUUUUGUGUUGAAAUUUUCCGGUGUGGACUGUAAAGACAAUGUAGUAGACAUUAUAAGAAAACUAAGAGGUUUGAUGAACCAAACACUUCAUCAAAAUAAGCAGUUGCUGUUGAGAGAGCUUCUUUUGGGAAACCUGGUCAGAUUAGUACUACUUAGAUAUAUUUUGAAUUAUAAUGCUUCACAUGAGGAAUAGUCAGACUAGUGCAUGAUUCUAUUAACAAAUAAUUAUAGUUUUCUCUGGCCAGUGACCCAAUUAUUGCCUCUGCUAUCUCUUGUUCUAUCUUUUCCAUGCGUUUUAUUUUAUUAAGACUUCCCCAGUUCUCUUUGCUCUAUCUAAAAGCAGCACUUUUGCUGUCUAGCUUAACAACAGUAUUUAACUUGCAUUUUGCAACUUCUUAUUUCUUUAAAGUAAAUGCGCAUACAUGAUAUGCAUGCAUUUUUGCAUCAUUGAACAUUUGAGAUUGAUAAAAUUUACAUUAUUAGGUCAGUUCUAAACCAACUCAUAUCCGAGAGCUGGAAAUUAAUUGUCACUUGCCACUAAAUACACUCAUUGGAAAUGUCGUAAUAUAACAAAAUUUAGAAUACUGAGUGUUGGUGUGAACAACUUUUGAGCCAUGGCCUCGGGGCCGUCGCAGCUCGGUUCAGGUCCGAAUGGCGGGGAUCGACUUACAUAGGAGCUCGUGGGGGCGUCCUGCGGGGAAGGGUUCCACUCUGCGACGUUGGGAAGAAACAGCUCCGUCUUCGUACCUGCACACAGGUCGAGUCGGAAGCUCGGCCCGACCCCUCCGACGAUCAAGUCAAUGAUGUGGGGUGGUGCGGUGUUUUCCUCUGUGUCUCCCCUCUCCUUUAGAACGCGAGGGUAUUUAUAGGAAAGUUUAGUGUUACCUGAUGUGCCUGCCCGUAGGGAGCAGGAUCGUACCUCUGAUGGCGUCUGACAUCGUUGUUGGCGUGGCAUGAGGGAUCGAGCAUGAGAGGUCAUUAAUGGGCCUUGGCCUGUGUUCUGGUUUGUUUGACGAGGUCCAACCGGGUUGAUCGAGGCGUGAGCUUCGUCUGGGUCAGCUGACGUCAGCCCGAGUCAUGUCGUCAUUUAUUACCCUCAUCAUAUUCCCCCCCCCCCCCUCGAAGGAAGUCAUGCGUCGGCUGUUGCUGGGGGGUCCGAGGCGUGGCUUCGGUUUCGAGAGACUGUCCUAGCCGGGCGUUUGCCGGUUCGUCGUGGCGUUUAGCAGCUAAGAAGAGCUGGGUGUGCAGCGGUGACCCUGGGUAGUGUACGGCCGAGGAGCAAAGCUCAAGUGUGUUCUCGGGCGACAUGCAACCGAGGAGCACGACGCGGGCGGGCUGGCCGCUCAAGUGUGUUCUCGGGGGGCAUGAAGCCGAGGAGCACAAUGCAGGCAGGCUGGCCGCUCAGGUGUUUUCUCGGGGGGCAUGAAGCCGAGGAGCACGACGCAAGCGGGCUAGCCGCGCAGGUGUGUUCUCGGGCGACAUGCAGCCGAGGAGCACAACGCGAGUGGGCUGGCCGCUCCGGUGUGUUCUCGGCGGGCAUGAAGCCGAGGAGCACGACGCAGGUGGGCUAGCCGCGCAGGUGUGUUCUCGGGCGACAUGCAGCCGAGGAGCAUGACGCGGGCGGGCUGGCCACUCAGGUGUGUUCUCGGGGGGCAUGAAGCCGAGGAGCACGACGCAGGCGAGCUGGCCGCGCAGGUGUGUUCUCGGGCGACAUGGAGCCAAGGAGCUACUUGCGUCGUAGUCCCUCCACGCGAAUUUAGCAACGACGAGGACCGAGAACAUCUGUGCCCUGUUGUGUCAUUGGAGGGGAGCUCUUUGCGUCUGCAACACGCUCUUAGGCGUCGAAAUCAAGGCGCCAGGGGUCUGCCGUUUGCUUAGCUUGCCCCUGAGUCGCCGCGUCAGGCCUUCAUUAUGGCGGGACGUCCUUUGGCCUCGCUGACGUGACAUGGCGGAUAGGUGCAUACGUGAGUGGGCUGUCACCCACUCUCGGGAGGCGAAGGGGCGCUGGUUCUGGCGGGAUCCUUCCUUUAAGUAGCGCGCGCCCGACUUCGUUCCCUUCUCUCGCUGCUGAGUCUUCUUCGGGUCUUGCCAUCCCCUUUCCAAUCAUUUUCCUCGCCUCCAGCGUCGCCUCACUUCCCCAAGUAGCCCCUACCUGUUUCCCGUUAAGGUCAGUGAGGAUGACCUCCUCUUCUUCCCCUUCUUCUUCUUCCCAUGGAGCUAGGGAGAGAUGCCCCCCACCGUCCCCCAUUCAAUCCUCCGAUGGGGAAGCGGCGCGGGCCCUUGAGACCUUGAUGUGGCCGCACGACCUGGACUCCACCGUGAGCGGGUCAUCGCUGAGGGGACUCCGGGAACGUUAUAGUAUCCCGGAGGACUAUAUCCUCAGCGCCCCUGAACCGGGACAACGGGCCUACGACCCGGUUCCGAAGGGUUUUGCGUUAACCCUAGACGCCCUGGAGGCGGGUCUGCGCUUUCCCCUUCACCCCCUCAUUGUCUCCUGUAUCUCUCUCUGGCGGAUCUCGCCAUCCCAGGUGGCGCCAAACUCUUUGCGCUACCUAGUGGUGUUCCUAGGGGAAUGCCACUACGCCAACAUCACCCCCACACUCAAUCUGUUUAUGUCCUGCUACUGUCUUUCCAAAGGGCUGGGGGGUUACUUCCUGUCUGCCCGAGCGGGCUUUCGAGUCGGGGGGGCCCCUUCCAGCAACAAAGGAUGGAAGGGGAGGUUUUUCUAUGUUAGUUGUGCAAGGGAUUGGGGUUUUGUAGUCCGAUGGUCCGCGAGGGUGAUUGAUAACACCGGCCCGAGCCUGAGCGACGAAGAACCCCGGGAUCUGGGGAGGCUCGGGGAGGUUCUCCCCAGCUCCCAGGCCAUCCGGAAUAUGACCGAGCGGUGGCUAGCCGAGGCUGGUCUUAGUCCGACGCCUUGGGGUAUGUUAAUAGCGCCCGGUCCGGGUAUUCCGUGGCUCGCCCCUAGUUCUAACUUUUGACCUACUUUUUGAAAUGGUGAAUCUUCGAUCCCUUCUGGGAGGUCGAGCGUCGCCCGCUUCUUCUCCACGCCCAUCAACCGACCCGAAGCCCGGCUCGAAAGACGCCCCGUUGGAGGUCGAGGUCGGGCGUCCUCGGAAGAAGGCCAAGCUCUCUGUCUCUACGGGAGCUGAGGCGGGUCCUAAUCGAGGCGCGACGGGACCCAGUCGGGAGGCGACAGGGAAGGACUCGCGCCCUCCCUCCGUGCGCGAUCUGUGCCGACUACCUACGGGCGACGACGAGCCGUUUCUAUCGCGGUUGGUGGGCGAGAUCCUGACGGGGGAGGCAAGUGACCCCCUGGUCGCUCGUUGGGGGGGCAUGUCCCGGGGGGACAAGGUGUGGGCUGGAGGGGAUUCCUCCGCGGCCUUCCUCCGGGGUACGCUUCAUCCCGACAUGGCUCGGGACAUAUAUACCCUGCCCUCGGAGGCUUUGCAUGGCAAGUCGGCCAAGUCCCUGACAUUGGUAAGUAUUGCGCCUGCUAUUUCUAGCUAUACAUCCGACGGUGUUUCUCCUAACCUGUCCUCCUCGUUGCAAGGCCUUCACUACGCGACGGCCCUGAUGGAUCGGGUGCAUGACGCUGGCCGGAUCAUCGGGGGCCUAAUCGGCCGCAAUGCCGAACAGCGUUGCCAGGUGGAGGAGGUCUGUGCCGGGGCGGGCCCGGAAGUCGUGGCGCCCGUUGAGAAGCGAGCGGCGGAUUCGGAGGCGGAGGUUGCUCACCUCAAGUCGGAGCUCCAGGCCUCCGAAACUUCGAAUAAGGAGCUCCAGAAACUUGUAAGGGUAGAGCGGACCGAGCUCCGUCUGUUGAAGACGGAGGCGAGCACCCUCAGCAAGAAGUUGGAGGAGGCGAAGGCGGAGGCGACAGCGGCUUCUGAAGCGCUUGCCGAGGAGGCUCGCCUCCGACCCGACAAGGACAAAGAGCUGAUCGUGAAGCUGGCAGGCAUCGCAUAUUUGCACAUAUGCUCUCGCGUCUCGACACAUAGUGGGCCAGUAGUACCCUUGACGAAGCGUCUUGAAUGCCAGGGUGCGCCCACCUAUGUGCUCACCGCAAAUCCCGUCGUGGACCUCGGCAAGAACUGACUGAGCCUCUUCGAGCUCCAGGCAGCGCAGGAGGGGGCGUGAAUACGAUCUCCUGUAUAACCGUCCGCCGAUUUCUCGAUACCAGGCUUGGGUUCGGCGUAGGCGUCGAGCCGCGGCUUCGUCAUCAGGAAGCGUCCCGUGAUGUUUGAAGUCUAACAUCUCCUGCACCCAUGUCGUUGGGGAGCCAGCAACGGCCACCGCUGCGACCGCGAUGGCUCGGGUGGGGAGUUCCUCCACGUCGAGCUCACUCUCGGGACCCGACCUCGAGGCCAGCUUGGCCAGCGUGUCCGCCCGUUCGUUUUGGCGCCUCGGCACCCUGGACAAUAUGAAGCGGGAGAAAUGGGCGGCAAGAGCUUUUACCUCCACCAGAUACCUCGACAUGGUUGGGUCCCGUGCCGCAUACCCUCCGGUGAGCUGUUCGGCAACCAGCUGCGAGUCGGUGAGGACGUGUAUGUCACCCACCUGCAUUUCCACGGCUAGUCUGAGCCCCACCAGCAGCGCUUCGUACUUCGCUUCGUUGUUGGUGGCCUUAAAUCCGAAGCGGAGCGAGCGCUCGAACGAGCGCCCAUCGGGGGCUUCUAACACCAGCCCGAUCCCCGCGCCUUUUCGACCGGAUGAUCCGUCCACGCGGAGGAGCCAUUCCGUCUUCACGCGUCCUGGCUCCUCGCCCUCGGGCUGGGUUAGUUUUGAGAUGAAGUCGGCCACCGCCUGCGCCUUGAUGGCGGUCCUCGGGACGUACCAAAUAUCGAACUCACCGAGCUCCACUGACCACUUGAGGCGACCUGCUAGGUCAAAUUUAGACAAAACCUGACGGAGCGGCUGGUCGGUGAUUACCUCGAUCGGAUGAGCUUGGAAGUAGGGGCGCAGCUUCCGGGCGAUCAGUACGAGCGCCAACGCCAGCUUCUCGAUCGGGGGGUAUUGUUCCUCGGGCCCACUAAGGACAUGGCCGGUAUAGUAAACCGGUCGCUGUUCUCCAGAGGCCUCCUUGACCAGGACAGAACUUACUGCAUGUUGAGAGGCGGCCAGGUAGACACCCAGCUUUUCCUGAGGGGACACCGAAGUGAGGCGAGGGAGGGAGGCCAGAUGCUCCUUUACAAGGGCGAGAGCCUUCUCGCAUUCCACCGUCCACGCGAAGUCCUUGGGAUCCUUCAGAGCCCGGAAGAAGGGGAGGCAUCGGUCGCCUAAUCGAGAAAGGAACCUUAACAUGGCGGCGAGCCUUCCGUUCAGGCGCUGCACUUCCUUGAUUGUCCGAGGGGCCUACAUGUCGAUAAUCGCUGGUAUCUUUUCGGGGUUCACAUCGAUUCCCCUUUCAUGUAUGAUGAACCCGAGGAACUUGCCCGAGUUAACACCGAAGGCGCACUUGGCGGGGUUGAGUCGCAUGUUGUACCUUCGCAACGUGUUGAAAGUCUCGGCCAAGUCGGACAAGUGAGUCGUCGCCGCGCGACUUUUUACAAUCAUAUCGUCGACGUAGACCUUCAUGUUUCUCCCUAUCUAGUAAGCAAACAUUUUGUUCACAGUCCUUUGAUACGUAGCCCCAACGUUCUUCAGCCCGAAUGGCAUAACCUUGUAGAAGUAUACCCCUCGGUCGGUGAGGAAGGCGAUUGUGCUGCUGGUCUUCGGGCGCCAUCCUGAUCUGGUUGUAGCCGGAGAAGGCGUCCAUGAAUGAAAGGCGGGCGUGACCGACUGUUGCGUCGACUAGCUGGUCGAUUCGCGGGAGGGGGUAGCAAUCCUUCAGACACGCACGAUUAAGAUCGGUGUAGUCAACACACAUUCUCCAGCUUCCAUUAGGUUUCUUCACGAGGACUACAUUGGACAACCAGCGUGGGAAUUUGGCUUCUUCAAUGAAGUCUGCCGCCAGAAGUCGUUCCACCUCUUCUCGGACGACCUGCCAGCGUUCGGGGGCGAGGCGCAGGGGCUUCUGCUUUACUGGCCGCAUGUCGGGGGAGACACACAAGCGAUGCUGAGAUACCUCAGGGUCGACGACUGGCAUGUCAGUGGGUGACCAGGCGAAGAUAUCGGCAUUCUCUUGGAGGAGAUUGAUAAGCUGGUCUCGUUCCUGCUCGGGAAGCUCUGACCCGAGCUUGAUCGUCCGAUCGGGACGUCCCUCAAAUAUUGGCACAUCCACCGUAGGCUCCAUCGGCUCGGGGUGCUGAGCCGGCUUUUUCGCUUCUCGGGGGUCUUUGAGGGGCAGUUCGGCCGUCCUUCUUUUGUGCAGGGAGACCGCGGUCAAGUAACACCGCCUUGACUCGCGGGGGCUCCCCCGGGCCACUCCAACCCCUGCUCGGGUCGAGAACUUCAAGGUUCGGUGGUAGGUGGAGAUAACCGUCCUGAAUUUGUUAAGGGUGGGGCGCCCCAGAAUCGCGUUGUAAGCGAUGGGGAGGUUGACCACCAAGAAAGUUGCCAUCACCGUCUUCGUCCUCGGCACUUCCCCGAGGGUUAAGGGUAAGGUGAUCGCGCCCAGCGGUGAAAUUGAUUCACCGGUGAACCCGGUGAGCGCUGAGUUCAUAGGCUUUCGGGCGUCGUAGGAGAGCCCGAGUUUCUGGAAGGCGUCUAGAUAAAGGACGUCGGCCGAACUUCCAGUGUCGACCAUGAUCCUCCUUACUUGGGCGUUGGCGAUUCUGGCGGCCACCACCAACGCGUCAUCGUGCUCGGGCCGCAUGUCCCUCUCGGGGGGAAACGUGACCUCGGGUUCGGACCCGCGCCCAGGGUCUUCGGUUGCGGCAACGCGGGCGUAUGCUUUCCGCCCGGACAUGCUACUUCCCCCAGAUGCCGGGCCGCCCGUGAUCACGUCAAUCUGACUUUCGACGGGGCCCUCGGGCCGGGGGGAAAACUCUUUACCCUGUCGUAGAUAGCGAUCGAGGUGACCUCUCCGAAUCAUCUCCUCGAUCUGUCGCUUCAGCUCACGGCACUCUUCCGUGUCAUGCUCGUUUUGCCAGUGAAAGCGGCAAUACCGCGUCUUGUCCGCGAGCUCCCGUGGGCUCCUCAUCGGACUGGGGGUCUGGAGCAGCCCCUUCUCCUUUAUCUGGAGGAAUAUCUGCGUUCGGGACGCUCCCAUAACGGGGAGUGGCGACCUCGGCGCGGAGGGGUCGGACCGGUCCGACCUUCGCCUCAGCGGGCCGGGCAACUGCCCUCGCAGUGGCUCCGUCCGAGGCCUUUUAUGUUCCUCGUGUCUCCCCGACAUCCAGGCUUCCGCCGCGACAGAGUGGUUGGCUCGCUGGAGCAUUUCUGAAACUAUGGUGGGGAGUCGCUCCACGAGGGACCAGAAAAACCUGGACGGACGGAGACCCGCCAUGAAUGCCUGCAUCAACAAAGAGGGGUGAGCUUCUGACAAGCCCCUGAUUUCUGUGGCGAAUCAGCUCACAAAACGAGAGAGGGGUUCGUCCUCCUUUUGGUUCAGUCCAAGGAGGAGGGCGACGGACGGCUUCGGUCGGGCCACAGCCAGGAAGUUGAGUUCGAACUCCUUAGCGAGUUGGUCGAAGGAAGCGAUUUCGUCGGUCUUCAAACCGCUGUACCACGUGCGUGCUGGCCCCCUUAGGGUUGUGGGAAACGCCCUGCACAUCAAAGCGUCAGCAGUUCCGUAUAGUGCCAACUGAGCCCGAAAGGCGGCCACGUGGUCCGCAGGGUCGGUGGUGCCAUCGUAGGCGUCCAGGGAGGGGAGUCGAAAGCUCGGGGGCACCGGUUGGUUGCGUAUCUCAACUGCGAACGGCGACCCCCGGUGUGCAUCAUCCCCUGGCUCUCCCUUUGAGGCAUGGACCUCCUUCCGCACUUCUUCGAGUCGUUGACUGAGAAGGCGCAGUUGGGCCCGAAAGGAGUCCGCUGAGUCGGGAGAUAUCGCCUCAUGCUCGGGUCGGCCGGUUGGGUUUCCCCCUGCUUGAUCUCCAAGGAGAAACACCCAGGUCUGGGGUGAACCAAGGAGUAUCGAGGUGGUCACGUGAACCGGUGCAGAGGACUCCACUCGGCGCGUAGGGCGGGCCGUCGACGUGUUCAUUGAUUGAGAAAUGAGCGGGAUGACGGUCUGCACCAUUCCCGCCAAGGUUCGGACCUGGAGGGCAAGGUCCUUAAAGGCUUCGGAUGACACGGGUGACGGCACGCUCGGAGCGGCCUCGGGCGGAAGCAGACCAGGGUCAUUGAACAAACGCCAAUAGCGUUCCGAGGUCGUGACGAGGUCCUCGGCCCAUGGCCCGUCACGCGAGGGGCGCCCGGCUUGCGCCCCUGUUAAGAACGAUCCCUCGGCGGGGAGUUCGUCGAGGUCUGUCUGAGGAUCCCGAGGCAUUCGGCCCUCCUUCCAGCGCCAAACUGUUGGUGUGAACAACUUUUGAGCCGUGGCCUCGGGACCGUCGCAACUCGGUUCAGGUCUGAAUGGCGGGGAUCUUGCUCGGAGUCCCUCGGGGGUUGCCGAUGCAGCCGGUUGCAGGGAUCGACUUACAUAGGAGCUCGUGGGGGCGUCCUGCGGGGAAGGUUUCCACUCUACGGCGUUGGGAAGAAACAGCUCCGACUUCGUACCUGCACACAGGUCGGGUCGGAAGCUCGGCCCGACCCCUCCGACGAUCAAGUCAAUGAUGUGGGGUGGUGCGGUGUUUUCCUCUGUGUCUCACCUCUCCGUUAGAACGCGAGGGUAUUUAUAAGGAAGUGUAGUGUUACCUGAUGUGCCUGCCCGCAGGGAGCAGGAUCGUACCUCUGAUGGCGUCUGACAUCGCUGUUGGCGUGGCGUGAGGGAUCGAGCCUGAGCGGUCGUUAAUGGGCCUCGGCCUGUGGUCUGGUUCAUUUGACCAGGUCCAGCCGGGUUGAUCGAGGCGUGAGCUUCGUCUGGGUCAGCUGACAUCAGCCCGAGUCAUGUCGUCAUUUAUUCCCCUCAACACUAAGCACCAUGUUUGACCACAAUAUCAAGACUACGAUCAAGAUAAGCAAAUUUAGAUAAAUAUUGGUCAAGAUUAUUUUUUAUGACCUCCAGUACAAGUUACAAUGAUUGUGGACACUCUUAAUAAGUCUAACUUUGCCAAUAGAGAAGUAAGAGGUUGCUUUUUACGGAUCAUACCAGUAAGAUCCUACAAGUACUGGGUAAGUCAAGAUUCAGUGCAAAGUCCAAAAAAGGUUUGCCAAAUUUAGAAUUCAAAACUCGUAUAUUUUGUGAAUAUGGUUCCUUAUAUUUAGUCCAAAGUUUAAGGGUAGUCCACUUAUGGAUAUACACUAUAUACAUCCCAGAUUUUACACUUAUGCCUAUUACAGAUUUCGAUUUGUAAUUUUAUGAUUUAUAUUUUUUAUCUUAUGCAAAUUAGUCAGGGAUUGUUAUGUAUAAGGAUUUACUAAAAAUAAAUGGGAAAGAAAUGUUGGGAACAGUUAUGGAAACUACUUGCAGUUUAAAAACUCAUUUAAUGUGCUGUAAUGGUUCAAAAAGUCAUAACUCUUUAGGAUAACUGAAAGGAUGUUUUAGCAUCCUUUCAAUGUCUAAAUAAACUCCGCUAUAUUGAAAAGUAAAGCAAUAAGAAAAUUCUAGUGCAAACAAAGUACUGAAUUCUAUCUUUCUCUUUAUUUUCUAGUUGAAUUUUUAUUCUUCAAGUAAUCAAGAAGUGCAAUCUUGAUUAUUUCAGGUAAUAGGCAUUGUAUCCUUAGAGAGAAUUUCUGUGAAGCCAUCUGCAUUGUAGUGGGAAAAUUAUCUAUCUUGAAGAUAGUUUCCUAGAAAUGCCUUGCCUAAUUUUGUUUUGUUCAAGUUUUACUCAGAUCUGUAUUUCUACUACAACAACUGUACCAAUGUUCAAGAACAAAAGAAGAUAAUUGAUGUCAUAGGGAAUUUGAAAUGUCAGAUAAAAUUAUUUUGAAUACCAAAAUGACUAAUGUUUCAACAAUGUAAAAAUGAAACCUCAGUUUCUGCCAAGGCACAUAUCUACCAUCUCAUUGCAAUGAAAUGAAAAUGAGAAAAAAUGGAAAUUAAAAUAUAAGCACAGCAAAAUAUAAAAUCACAUCUAUGGAUGAAGAAAUCCACAGCCAUGCGCAACAAAAAAGAACUAAGAGCUUCGAUGUAAUGAGCAGAGCAUGAAGAUACAGUGACAGCUCCUAAUAAAUUCCAGUACCAAAGUGCCCUCUCCAAAUCCCAUUAAUGAUGGCACCCCUUAGCCUCAAAAUUGAAUAUAUACAUGCAUUCUCUAUGGUUCCAUCUGAUGACUACAGUAUGCAUAUUAUUUGAUGUUCAUAACCAUUUGAGAACCGACUUAUGCGGCAAGCAACAAGAAAUUAAUAAAGGAUCAAAAGAUUAAAUAAAAUAGCAUGUAUUCCAAUAUGUAUAGGCACGGCCAGAUAUUAUGCAUUAGGGACUCAUUACAGAUUAACCCAUGUAGUUAGCUACCUUUAGCAUCUCUGUCCCUACACUUUAAAAGGUUACAUUUACAUCCUUAAAAUUACGAAAAUGAAACAUUUAGACCCAUUUACCAUGAUGAGGUCAGUUUUACUAACGGAAAUACGAAAACAAAGGGAAAAAAAUAUUAUUUUAACGUUCCAGUUUGUGAUGACAAACAGCGUUGGUGGUGCUAGACGACAACGCAGCUGGGUGUCACGGGUGAUUGUUAUGGAUGAGGAGAAUAGUAACGAGAGGUGAGGGCCGCUCUGCAUCUGCAUUUGCGUCGAUGUAGUGUCGUGCGACGAGAUGGCCACUGAUGCAAAUGUUGAGCGGCACCGCUCAGCAUCAACAUCAACGCAGUUGCCGAGAGGCACCCUUCGACAUUAAUAUCGACAAUCCUUUCAUCGCUCGACAACUGCAUCGACGUCGAUAUAGAUACAAAGCGGCUAUCACCUCUCGUUAUCGCUCUCCUUAUCCACAACAAUCACCCACAGCCCUCAGUGACGUCGUCGUGCACAACCACUGACGUCAUCCGCCACCACUAACUGAAAUAUUUAAAUUCCCUUUUAACCUUUUAUUUUUGUAUUUUCGUUGGUAAAACUGACAACGUUAGAGUAAAUAAACUUAGAUAUUAUACUUUUGUAAUUAUAGGGAUGGCAAUGUAUUUUUUUAAAAUGUAAGGAUCGAGAUGCUAAACCUAGACAUUGCACUUACACGCAAUAGGGAGUAGGAAUUGAGGUUGCCUAGGGCUCUCCAAUAGGAGGGGAAGAAACAUUCCAAGGGAGAUGAGUCACACGAGGGUGGGGAUCAAAUUUCUUGUCUUAAUGGACCCAAUUGAGGUUCAAUUUCGGUGCAACACCACUUGAGCGUGCGACUAGACCGCCCAAUGCCCAGUUGGUGCUCGCCUAAGCAUCGCAUGAGUGAAAACGCCUGCGUGAUGUGCACAGCAAGGCGCUCAGGCCUCGCCUCGUGUGAUUAGGCGAGCACCAAGCACCCAAUGUUUAGGUUAGAUAGAACUAAGAUGAUCUAACUUGAAUCUCAUGACAUUUAAAAAAUAGAUAGAUAUACAACCAAUGUAGCUCAAAUUCAAUAAUCUUUCUGGACCUAUGAUGAAUUUGGUUCAAAUCAGUGAGAAUAUGCCAAUAAAACCAACAAGUGCAAACGACAACAAUAAUAACAAAAGCCAUGAUGUCCAAACUAUUUAUAAUCAUCCAUACGGAUCUUUUGUAUCUUUGAACUCUGUGUAAGAAAAUAUCUGUAGUUAAAUUAAGAGCAUUAAAAUAUCUCUCAAUUGUUACCAGUAAAAUCUACUUCAAUCACCAACAAAACCACCAAAUACAAGAUUUGACAAUCCAAAUGUAAGCAGGCCUGUGUGUUUUGAGGUAUGAGCAAGCCUCAAGUAGCGAAGAUAGUUGCUUUCAGCACUUGGCAGAGAACAUACUAUGCUGACAUAAAAGUGUAAGUUUAUACCUAACCAAAUACAUUGAGAUUUUGGGUCUAUUUUGGGGUUUGGAAAUCGAGUCAAAUUCUAGUUGUUUACUCAACUUGUACUUUAGGGUGAGUCGAGUCCUUUGUAUCAUUUGGGGUUUUGUGUUGUUCUGGUGUGCUGGAAGAGGAAACUACAAUGCAGUAAACAUAAUAAGAAAACUAAGAGGUUUGAUGAACCAAAAAAUUCAUCAAAAUAAAUAGUUGCUGUUGAGAUAGUUUCUUUUGGGAAACCUAGUUAGAUUAGUAUUAUCUUAGGUAUAUUUUUAAUUAAAAUGCUUCACAUGAGGAAUAGUCAGACUUGUGCAUGAUUCUAUUGACAAAUGAUUAUGAUUUUCUUUGCACAGUGACCGGAUUAUUGUCUCUGCUAUCUCUUUUUCUAACUUUUCCAUGCUUUUUUGUCUCUAAGACUUCCCCGAUCCUCUUUGCUCUCUCCGAAAGCAUCACUUCUCCUGCUGUCUAUCUUAACAACAGUAUUUAACUUGCAUACAGUGACAUGCUAUUUCUUUAAAGUAAAUGCUCAUGACAUGCUGCAGACUGCUUGUUGGGAGGGGUAGCGGGUAACUAUCAGGGAGUAGGAAAGGGAAGGGGAAGAUGUAAAGAGAGGGUGAAGAGAAGGAGAAGGGAUUGNNNNNN
rnacentral:lncRNA from 1 species